UUUUCCCCUGCAGCCCUUUUAGUACCUUUAUUACUUUUGCGUUCUUCAGGAGCCUGCUCUAUGUAACGUCAUUCAGCUGUGAUGGACAAGCGGAGGCAAGGGAAGGAGGGGGUGUGAAACUUGAGCUGGUGGAUGAGAGGCGGGAGCGAGAUUUGAGAUAGUGGAUGAGAGGAGGGAGUGAGAUUUGAGAUGGUGGAUGGGAGGAGGGAGCGAGACUUGCAAAUGCGAUGGUGGAUGGGAGGGGGAGCGAGCGGAGAGGAAUCCUGUGACAGGGAGGCAGCUGCACGAGAUGUGAGACGGGAGCGAAAGACAAGCCAAUACGUGGGAGGGACUGGAACAGGCGAAGCGUGUUUCGUGUGUGGGAUGUUACUGUGAUAGACUGCAGUUAUUAUUUUCCUGAGCGCUUGGACUGGGUGACGGUGUUUGAUGAAACCUACUUGGUGUUCGGUGCGUCUAAUAUCUCACGGUCAUGAACCGUCAAUUUAUGGAGGUCUGCUUCCUGUAAGAAUUUUAAACCGUCUUGUGGAUCAUCAGGGGAAGACCUGUAGAAUUUCCUGAAGUGUUCGGCAAUUAUGUCUCUAAUUUGUUUCACAUCAUGUGUACAUCCACUAGAUGUUUUGAUUUUUCGUAUGUAUGUAUUGCGGAUUUUUCUUUUAGCUAUUUGUGCCAGUAAUUUCCCUGAUUUGUUACCAUAUCUGUAGAAUUUGUUUGCUGUAUGACUUGAUUUGUGUGCUUUUUCCGUUAAUAAAGUAUCAAAAAGUUA